CAGUCGCCGCGGUAAUACAGAGGGUGCGAGCGUUAAUCGGAUUUACUGGGCGUAAAGCGUGCGUAGGCGGCUUUUUAAGUCGGAUGUGAAAUCCCUGAGCUUAACUUAGGAAUUGCAUUCGAUACUGGGAAGCUAGAGUAUGGGAGAGGAUGGUAGAAUUCCAGGUGUAGCGGUGAAAUGCGUAUAGAUCUGGAGGAAUACCGAUGGCGAAGGCAGCCAUCUGGCCUAAUACUGACGCUGAGGUACGAAAGCAUGGGGAGCAAACAGGAUUAGAUACCCCAGUAGUCCCUGUCUCUUAUAC
rnacentral:rRNA from 1 species